rnacentral:rRNA from 1 species
UACAGAGGUCUCAAGCGUUGUUCGGAUUCAUUGGGCGUAAAGGGUGCGUAGGCGGCGUGCACAGUCGGAUGUGAAAUUCCUGGGCUUAACCUGGGGGCUGCAUUCGAUACGUGCAUGCUUGAGUGCGGAAGAGGGUCGUGGAAUUCCCAGUGUAGAGGUGAAAUUCGUAGAUAUUGGGAAGAACACCGGUGGCGAAGGCGGCGACCUGGUCCGUGACUGACGCUGAGGCGCGAAAGCGUGGGGAGCAAACAGG